GCCUAUGAGGUUUAUCUGGUUGCAAAAUCUAUCACCCUAUUGAUCCCCAGGGUUGAUUUAGCUGAUUUGGCUGGCUAGGUGGAUGUCCCCUUUCUCCCUAACCCUCCAUGUGCAUCUCUCCCAAAGCUGUGUCCUCGGCUGAAGAGGACGAGCACCCUGGAGAGAGGAGGACCAUCCCUCAUUCACGAGUAUACAACCAUCUGUGUUCCCCUGCUAGAACCUCCAAACAAGCUCUCAAAAUGAGAAUUAGAAUAAUAUAUGGCAUCUCUAAUAGGAGUUACAGAAAUUAUUGGGGAAAACUUUAUCAUUAAAGAUAUAAACAUGUUU
rnacentral:snRNA from 1 species